rnacentral:lncRNA from 1 species
AUUCAUUCAGACACUCAUUCACUCUCAACCAAAAAUUCUCUCAUCACUCUCACUUCUCUCAUUGCUCUCUUGGCUACUUAACAAAACAUUAAUAUUCCGGUAAUUAUUCAAGGGUUCUUCUUUGCUAUCUUAUUACUUUGUUCGAGUAAAGGUUGAAUCAAUUCGUUUUGCUUAACGGGUUAGUAAUCUUAACAUUCAUACUAUCUUCAUAUUCACAUAUUUGUGUAAACCAUUGUCUGUUUUUUAUAUAGAAUUCGUCAUUAAACGAUUGCAUAUUGUCUCACCUUAACUAACAAGUGUGAUUACUUGUGUAGUUAUUUAAUUACUUUGACAGGUUUCAUAUUUGAAGUUCAAGUUGAAGAUUAACUGAAGAAGGAUUUGUUUAUUUGUUUGAAUGUAUAUAUAUAUCUAUAUAUUUUUAUUUUUUCCGCUAUUUUAUUUAUUUGAAUGAUGUAACAAUUGUAACCCUAAAGAUCAUAUAAUAAAUUUAUUUGGGGGUCGUCUAUGGGAGGGGGAUUUAUAUGCUUACUUGCUUCAUUAAUUUUUUUUAGAAAUCAUGCCUAUAGGUUUGUCUUUAAUCGCCUUGAUUUAAUAUUUGUAGGUGUUAUAAUCUAACCAAUUUUCAAUUUACUUGACGCUUUCGUUAAUAAGUCUAAAAAAAAAAAUAACUAGAUUCCAUUAAUUUUUAAAUAUUAAAAUCAAGUCCUAAUAAUAAUAGGUUGUUAGAUGUUAAAAUAUGUUAUAAAUUUUCAUUUGUCUUAUCACGUAGAACUAUGCCUAAGUAUUAAAUUGUUCACAUCAUUUACAAAAUCAUGCAUAUAUAUGUUACUCUGUUUUUUUAAACACCUAGAAAUCAUGUCUAUAGGGUUGUAAAUAAACUCUCAGCAUGUCCAUAAAAAAUAAAAUUUUGUUUGUGCAUAUUUGAGCCCUCCCCUAAAAUUAGUUAAUAUUAUUUAACUAGUAAUCCCAUUCGUUUUUCUUGAAGAUUUCCGCAUUCCUUGCAAUAUGUUAUUUUCUUAAAUUAACACUAAAUUAGAAUCAUUUCAUGCAUUUAACUUGACUUUAAAAAACAUUUCAUAUCAAAACCUUGUAACAUAAUUUUCUCAAAAAGUCAUUAUUCAAUCUUCUUUUAAAACUUUGGAUUGAUUUUGACAUUGUUUGUUUUUGAAAAUAAAUUAUAAGCACUAUCUCCUAACCUAUCGUUAGUGGGAAAGUCAAAGGAACUACGAGGUCUAGUUCCAAUUUUUAAACCCGACGCAUCCUCGGAAGUACCGCCUACCCAUGAAUUAAAAAAAAAAUUAUGUGCAUUUAUAUGUAAAUGUUUAUGUGCCUACGUGUGAACUAAAUCUUUUAAAUCAUUUUUCAAAACAUAACUAUUUUUAGACCGACCUCAAAUCAAAAUUGUUUUCUAUGGUGGAGGAGCGC